rnacentral:misc_RNA from 1 species
AAGUCGUAACAAGGUUUCCGUAGGUGAACCUGCGGAAGGAUCAUUAACAAAAAUCAAAAAAAAAAAAACCCGGUCAUCUUCAACAAUCCAAGACAAAAAAUUAUCGAGUUUAAAAAAAAAAUAUGUAAGUAGGUUACCUGCUAGAGGACGGGUGGGGUUUUUUUAAUCUCGAUGAUUGAUUGUUUUGGAUCUAAACUCAAUUAGAACAUUGUGGUUCGCUUGUCAGUAGGCAAGGAUGCUGCGUUAACCCGCAGAUGCGUUACACCCACACGGUGUAAUUGCCCAGUGUUCGCAGGGGCCUUAGCGCCCCUUAAGAAACCCCUGUAGGUGUAAUUCAUGGAAGCUUUGCUGAAAGGCAUCGCCCCUGAGCAAAAAACCCCGAACAACUGUUAACAAUGGAUAUCUCGGCUCUC